rnacentral:rRNA from 1 species
AUCCUGGCUCAGAUUGAACGCUGGCGGCAUGCCUUACACAUGCAAGUCGAACGGCAGCACGGGGGCAACCUGGUGGCGAGUGGCGAACGGGUGAGUAAUGCAUCGGAACGUGCCAUUGAGUGGGGGAUAACGUAGCGAAAGUUGCGCUAAUACCGCAUAUUCUGUGAGCAGGAAAGCAGGGGACCGCAAGGCCUUGCGCUCUUUGAGCGGCCGAUGUCAGAUUAGCUAGUUGGUGAGGUAACGGCUUACCAAGGCGACGAUCUGUAGCGGGUCUGAGAGGAUGAUCCGCCACACUGGAACUGAGACACGGUCCAGACUCCUACGGGAGGCAGCAGUGGGGAAUUUUGGACAAUGGGCGCAAGCCUGAUCCAGCCAUGCCGCGUGAGUGAAGAAGGCCUUCGGGUUGUAAAGCUCUUUCGGCCGGGAAGAAAUCGCAUGGGUUAAUACCCUGUGUGGAUGACGGUACCGGAAUAAGAAGCACCGGCUAACUACGUG